rnacentral:tRNA from 1 species
GGCGACAUAGCUCAGAUGGUAGAGCAAACGGCUCAUAUCCGUUCGGUCAGUGGUUCGAUCCCACUUGUCGCUA